UACGUAGGGGGCAAGCGUUGUCCGGAAUUAUUGGGCGUAAAGCGCGUGUAGGCGGCUCGGUAAGUCUGCUGUGAAAGUCCAGGGCUCAACCCUGGAACGCCGGUGGAUACUGUCGAGCUCGAGUCCGGAAGAGGCGAGUGGAAUUCCUGGUGUAGCGGUGAAAUGCGCAGAUAUCAGGAGGAACACCAAUGGCGAAGGCAGCUCGCUGGGACGGUACUGACGCUGAGACGCGAAAGCGUGGGGAGCAAACGGG
rnacentral:rRNA from 1 species